GAGAUUAAGCCAUGCAUGUUGAUGAAGUCGAUAGACGGAGUGACGGACGGCUCAGUAAUACUGCUUCGGAUCUAUAGUUGGCGGAGUCGUAACUACGGGAAUCUGUAGGUGUGUAUCGUUGAUUGUGAGUGGUAGUCCUAUCAGCUAUAUCGUAGGGUAAUGGCCUACGGUGGCGAUGACGGGUGACGGAGGAUGGAUGUCUGAUUCCGGAGAGGGAGCCUGAGAGAUGGCUACUACGUCUAAGGAUGGCAGCAGGCGCGAAACUUGUCCAAUGUUUGUAUGAGACAGUUAUGGGGAUUGAUCAGGAUACGCAGUGUCAAGAGGUGUGUGUUUGAUACUGGAGGGCAAGUCGGGUGCCAGCAGCCGCGGUAAUACCUGUUCCAGUAGUGUCUGUGGUUGAUGUUGCAGUUAAAAGGUCUGUCGCAGAUGGGUUGGGAGCUUGAAGGGGACACUGUAUGGUUGGGCGAGAGGUGAAAUGUCACGACCCUGACUGGACAAACAGAGGCGAAGGCGGUGUUCUGGCGAGUGUCGUGCUGUCAAAGACGAAAGCUGGAGGAUCGAAAUUGAUUAGAUACCGUUGUAGUUCCAGCAGUAAACGGUGGCGACUGUGGUGCAUGUUUUGUGUGCGACGAGCGAAAGCGGAAGUUUUCGGCCUCUGGGGAUAGUAUGCUCGCAAGUGUGAAACUUAAAUGAAAUUGACGGAAGGACACCACAAGUAGUGGAGAGUGCGGCUUAAUUUGACUCAACGCGGGGCAACUUACCAGUGUCGUAGACGCAUGUAGAGAUGAGUGCGUUGUGAGUGGUGCAUGGCCGUUUGCAAUGGAUGAUGUGAGUUUGUGCUUAAGUGCAGCAAGAUGUGAUGACCGGGCAGACGGGUACUAGAGGUACAGGGGGGAUGGUCUAAGACAGGUCCGUGAUGCCCUUUUGACGUGGGCUGCACGCGCGCUACAAUGGGCGCUCUGAGUGGAGUGUAUUGUGUCUUUGUGGGACAGGCGCUUGUAAAUGCGUCUCGAACACGGAAUUGCUAGUAAUUGCGAUUCACCAAGUAGCGAUGAAUGGGUCCCUGUUCUUUGUACACACCGCCCGUCGCUAUCUAAGAUUGUGUGGCAUGUGAACGUUUGUGAGCAUGUUGGACGAGAUAAGAUAUAAGUCGUAACAAGGUAACCA
rnacentral:rRNA from 1 species